CUCCGGUUGAUCCCGCCGGACCCGACUGCUAUCAGAGUGGGACUAAGCCAUGCGAGUCAACAUAGCAAUAUGUGGCAUACGGCUCAGUAACACGUAGUCAACAUGCCCAGGGGACGUGGAUAACCUCGGGAAACUGAGGAUAAACCGCGAUAGGUCAUCACUUCUGGAAUGGGUAAUGACUUAAAUCUAUAUGGCCCCUGGAUUGGACUGCGGCCGAUCAGGCUGUUGGUGAGGUAAUGGCCCACCAAACCUGUAACCGGUACGGGCUCUGAGAGGAGGAGCCCGGAGAUGGGCACUGAGACAAGGGCCCAGGCCCUAUGGGGCGCAGCAGGCGCGAAACCUCUGCAAUAGGCGAAAGCUUGACAGGGUUACUCUGAGUGAUUUCCGUUAAGGAGAUCUUUUGGCACCUCUAAAAAUGGUGCAGAAUAAGGGGUGGGCAAGUCUGGUGUCAGCCGCCGCGGUAAUACCAGCACCCCGAGUGGUCGGGACGUUUAUUGGGCCUAAAGCAUCCGUAGCCGGUUCUACAAGUCUUCCGUUAAAUCCACCUGCUUAACAGAUGGGCUGCGGAAGAUACUAUAGAGCUAGGAGGCGGGAGAGGCAAGCGGUACUCGAUGGGUAGGGGUAAAAUCCGUUGAUCCAUUGAAGACCACCAGUGGCGAAGACGGCUUGCCAGAACGCGCUCGACGGUGAGGGAUGAAAGCUGGGGGAGCAAACCGGAUUAGAUACCCGGGUAGUCCCAGCUGUAAACGAUGCAGACUCGGUGAUGAGUUGGCUUAUUGCUAACUCAGUGCCGCAGGGAAGCCGUUAAGUUUGCCGCCUGGGGAGUACGGUCGCAAGACUGAAACUUAAAGGAAUUGGCGGGGGAGCA
rnacentral:rRNA from 1 species